GGCUUCACAGCUCAGGCGAGCAUCGCACCGGUGUCGCGAAGGUCACGGGUUCGAGUCCCGUUGAAGCCC
rnacentral:tRNA from 1 species